rnacentral:lncRNA from 1 species
GGAGCUUGGGGGUUCCCAACAGGAGAAUUCAAAUGAAGACUACGCUGAAUCUCCGUCUUCAGUAAAAUGUCCAAGCAGCAUGAUGUCAUCAAUACAGGAGACCCGUGCGGUGUUCUGCAGAAAGUCAACGUGACUGUGGUCGUGCAGGCGACACUGUGACAGGGAGCAGGAGAAUUAUCACCAUCUUGGGGCAUGACCGUGAAUGGCUACUCUUCCCAUACACCUCGAAAGCCUCUGGGUUCUCCUCACUAAUGCGGCUUGAGAAGAACACACGGACAGAUCCAACAUGACCUAGCAUCACGCAAACGGCUUUUGCAGACACGAAUCCAGAUGGAUUAAAAGGAGGAUAUAAUUGGAGUUAUCACCCCUCUAGCUUUAAGUCUUUACGGGAGAGAUUAAUUUCUAAGCCCGAAUUAAUUGCGCAUCUACAGAUUCAGAAACUAAAAGCAUGGUUCUAGUUUUAGCUACUCAAUGUGGGGCAUGGUUGUCACGUAGAAAAAGCUGCAUUGGACAUGCAGGCUGGAAAUAUAGAGGAGAAAACUUGGAGUUCCCAUUGUGGCGCAGUGGUUAACGAAUCCAACUAGGAACUAUGAGGUUGCGGGUUCGAUCCCUGGCCUUGCUCAGUGGGUUGACGAUCCCGUGUUGCCGUGAGCUGUGGUGUAGGCUGGCAGCUACAGUUCCCAUUCGACCCCUAGCCAGGGAACCUCCAUAUGCCGUGGGUGCAGCCCCAGAAAAGACAAAAAGACCAAGAAGAAAAGAAAACUGAACAAGGCGUGCAGAUUUCGGAGUCGGAAGAUGGCAGCUGAAGUCAAGGCAGCGGAUGGGGCUGUCCUCAGACAUCAUGGAGACUAAGCACAGCGCGAGUCUCCCCAAGUCAACAGGACUCGACUCCGGAACCCAGCUGUGAAGCCUGAAACCUUGUCAGCCACCUUGUACCACGAGGCAACCAGCCAGCACACCAAGGGCGGCAGAGUGAAAAGCAGCCACGAGCCUGAGCCUCUGAUGGCAUCUGGGAAGCUCUGCCCCAGCCUCCGGCGGCCUGCCUCCAGACCUCUCCUCGUGUGCGAUAAUGAAGGCAUCUGAUUGUUCGAGACACGGCUUGUCAGGUGUUCCGGGGCAGGGCAGGAAGCAGUCCUGACCGAGAGAAAACGUACAGAGCGGCAGGAGCUAACUGCCAGAAGAGAGGGCUAAGUCAAGGCCGUGCUGGAACCAGCGUUAAGGACAAACCUAUCAAUUAGGGAACACAGAGGGUGGCUGUUUUUCAGCUCAGCUCCUGGUUCUGUGGGGGAGACUUGGAAACAAGAGAUGGAGCCUCUGUUCUGAAAGCGUUUACAGCCACGUGGGAGGCGGUCUGAUGAAAUACCACACCAAACAGCAGGCAGCCAAGAGCUGGGUUUUAUAAGCUCCAAGGAGGGGAGGCUUAGUGCAGGGGCAGUGGCUCAGACGGGGGUGGUUUUCUGGAGGCUGAGGGGCUUGAGCCUCGAAAGAUGAAGGGGGUUUGCUGACUCAUCAUUAGCCCAUCCAUGAUCUCUGCCUGGAGGCAUAAGGAUGCUACAGGAGGUGACCUGCCGACAAGGCCCUGGGGCACAGCAGCGGCUCUUUAAGUCUUAAUGCCCUUCUGGUUCUCCACGCGAGGUGCUUUAGGGGGAUAUUUCCUCCCUCUCAGAUUCAUUUACUUCACGCAUAUCUAUUGAGCCUUUACCGUGGAUGAGGAAUGGCCUCCGAUGCUGUGGACACAGGUGUGGGCAGCGCACACAGUACCUAACCUCAGAGAGCUUCCGCUCCAGGGAGGGAGGCAGGUGGCAAAUGAGAGGAAAACCACAAGGCGACCCUACUUCCCGGAGAGUGUGGCAAGCACCAGAACUCAGGAGGACACCACCGCGGGUACCACAUUCCGCCUCUGUGCCCAGGCCACCCCCUGCUGCUGCGGCGGCCAUUCCCCCCACCCCCGCGUCUCCAGGCUCAUCCACCGGCCCAUCUCCCUCUCUGCACGUCCCACGCAGCGUGUCCGAAGCUCCACUUCACACUGCCCCGGCCCUCACCCUUCGGGGCGGCUGCGCCAUCGUCCCAGCAACCACCCUCUGCCACGCCGAUCUUCUCCUCAAGGUGGCAGCACUGAUCCCCCAGCCUAAGGGGCCCCUCGGGGAAGCGCUCCCGCACGUCCAGAGCUCAGGGACCACACAGUGGAUCACCCCAAACUGGGACACAGUGAGGAGGGACAGGGCCGCUCUUAAUAAUCACCUCAGAGGACCGGCAAACCAAGGCGUGUGUGGCCUCCUAGCCAGAGCCCAACGCUGAGGUCGGAUGCUCCAGACAGCCGCUUCCUCUGUCACCUCGCCGUUUCCCAAACCAGGGAACACCUGGGAGGUAUCAAUAGGGACAAAAAAAGAAACUACAAAUUCCACAUCGGACUGAUUUUGAGAAACGCUGGGUCAAUCCAAGAUGACUAGGUAUUAGUGAGAACAUCACGUCAUGUCACCCAAGCCCAUCUGACCAUGGAAUCCCUGUGCGGAGAGCAUCGUGUGGAAGUAACACACUUUGAGAAAUACUGUCCCAGGUGAAUCGUUCCUGGAGUUCGUCUUCUCUCUGUCCUGGUGUUUAGUACUAAGACGUGAACAGCAGGAUGGAGACAGGCUCAUACCCAGCUCUGCCUCUUUCCAGCUGGGUGCUGUUCUGGCUGCAAGUAACCCAUCAGCAGAGAUUGUGGUCCAUCAUUCUGACAGCAACGACGCCUGAGCUAAGAGCUUCUAGCCCAGCAGUGUUUUCCAGGACCCAAAUGUUUUCCAUUCCUUCACCCUGCUGUCUUCAGCGUGUUGCUUAACUCGUCUCGUGGUGGCAGGAUGGCUCCAGCACCUCCGAGCACAGCACACAGAAACAAAGACCUCCCACAAAGAGGGACAUGUCCUCCACGUGUGUAGCCUUGACCAUUGAUUCUUAGCAAACAGUAAGUUUUCCAGAUGCCCCAUCUCCAUCUCCGACACACACACACACACACACACACACACACACACACCCUCACGCCUCUAUAGAAGACGUCUCCUCCCCAGGUCUCUGGCUAAGCAGGGUGUCCAACCAACCCAGUCUACCCAGUCCGCCCAGUCCGCCCCGUCUGCCCAGAACUGAUGUUUCCUGGGAUCCGGCACUAACAGCACUAAAACCAGGACAUUCCUGGGCAACUUGAAUGAGUUCGUGGCUGGAUGGGAACAGACCCGAGGACCGCCUGCAUCCAUCCACGGACAGGGGAACGGAUGCACCACGAUGAGCUUAGACGCAUCGGGACUUAGACGCCGAAACAGGCAAGGCAGCCAGCUUUCCUGAAUGCAGAAUGAGGGCCACCUGCACAAACUUCCCGACUCCUCACGGCGAGGAAGAGGGAAAGGCUGCUGGGGCGGCGCUCGGCAGCGGGGCCUCUUCUGGGAAAUGAGAUGCAGUGGUCAUUCGCUCCCGGCGAGGUGGCGGGGAAGACUGGAUAGGACAGGUGACCGUGCCUUACACGGAAAACCAACAACAGCAUCUUUUUACUAAGCACUUACUGUGUACCAAGCACAGUGCUAAAGCUAUUACAGUAUUCUCACCACAUCCAAACAACAUUCCAGGAGACGGAUGCCACAGAGAUUCCUGAGACACAAAGAGGCCGGGUGAUGUGCCCAAGGUCGUAAAACGAGAAAGCCGUGGAGCCAGGUCUCAAAGCCAAGUUGAACACUGUGAUGCCCAUAUAUUUUUGGGGGGGCAGGGUGUGAGGGGGGUUUAGGGCUGCACCUGGGGCAUAUGGAAGUUUCCAGACUAGGGGUCAAAUCCAAGCUGCAGCGCUUAACCUUCGACUUACACCACAGCUCAAGACAAUGUUGGAUCCUUAACCCACUGAGCAGGGCCAGGGAUUGAACCCCCGUCCCCAUGGAUACUAGCUGGGUUGGUUUCUGAUGAGCCACAACGGGAACCAAACCAUGCCUCUCAAUCUCUCUGCCCCACUGCCUUGCAGUGUUAAUUUCCUUCCCUUUCAUCUCCAGCACCCGGCACAGGCCCGGCACACAGCAAGCCCUCAUUAAAUACUCUUUGAAUGAGUAGAUGGUAA